UAUUUCUGAAUAAAAGAGGGACUCCAAUGAAACCAUUAAAUAUAUCUUGAUGCUAGAAUGCUGGGCUUUAUACAACUGUGUAUACCUACAAUGUCAGGAUACUCUUGAGUAGCAGAAUGAUGGACCUGUGACUAUUGUUGA